rnacentral:rRNA from 1 species
CCCUUAGAUGUUCUGGGCCGCACGCGCGCUACACUGAUGCAUUCAACGAGUCUAAAACCUGGUCUGAUAGGGCUGGGUAAUCUUUUGAAAGUGCAUCGUGAUUGGGAUAGAUGAUUGCAAUUCUUCAUCUUCAACGAGGAAUGCCUAGUAAACGCAAGUCAUCAGCUUGCAUUGAUUACGUCCCUGCCCUUUGUACGCACCGCCCGUCGCUCCUACCGAUUGAAUGAUCCGAUGAAUACCAUGGAUUGAGAGUACGAAUGGGUUCGCUCAUUUCUGCUGCUCGAGAAGUGGAGUAAAUCUUAUCAUUUAGAGGAAGGAGAAGUCGUAACA